GACGAACGCUGGCGGCGUGCUUAACACAUGCAAGUCGAACGAAGAGCGAUGGAAGCUUGCUUCUAUCAAUCUUAGUGGCGAACGGGUGAGUAACGCGUAAUCAACCUGCCCUUCAGAGGGGGACAACAGUUGGAAACGACUGCUAAUACCGCAUACGAUCUAAUCUCGGCAUCGAGGAUAGAUGAAAGGUGGCCUCUACAUGUAAGCUAUCACUGAAGGAGGGGAUUGCGUCUGAUUAGCUAGUUGGAGGGGUAACGGCCCACCAAGGCGAUGAUCAGUAGCCGGUCUGAGAGGAUGAACGGCCACAUUGGGACUGAGACACGGCCCAGACGCCUACGGGAGGCAGCAGUGGGGAAUCUUCCGCAAUGGACGAAAGUCUGACGGAGCAACGCCGCGUGAGCGGUGACGGCCUUCGGGUUGUAAAGCUCUGUUAAUCGGGACGAAAGGCCUUCUUGCGAAUAGUGAGAAGGAUUGACGGUACCGGAAUAGAAAGCCACGGCUAACUACGUG
rnacentral:rRNA from 1 species